rnacentral:rRNA from 1 species
UACGAAGGGGGCUAGCGUUGUUCGGAAUUACUGGGCGUAAAGGGCGCGCAGGCGGCUCUGAAAGUCAGAUGUGAAAGCCCCGGGCUUAACCUGGGAAUUGCAUUUGAUACUCUGGAGCUUGAGUACGGGAGAGGAGAGUGGAAUUCCCAGUGUAGAGGUGAAAUUCGUAGAUAUUGGGAAGAACACCGGUGGCGAAGGCGGCUCUCUGGACCGUAACUGACGCUGAGGCGCGAAAGCGUGGGGAGCAAACAGG